CAGCAUGUCUAAGUUCAAAUAAACCUAUAAUGGUGAAACCGCGAACGGCUCAUUAUAACAGCUAUAAUGUACUUGAUGUUGAUUAUCCAACGUGGAUAACUGUGGCAAUUCUAGAGCUAAUACAUGCACCAAAGCUCCGACUUUUGAACGAGCGCAUCUAUUAGAUUAAAACCAAUCGGGUUAUUAGCCCGUUAAUUGGUGACUCUGAAUAGCUAUGGCUGAUCGCAUGGUCUUGUACCGGCGACGUAUCUAUCAAGUGUCUGCCUUAUCAACUUUCGAUGGUAGUUUAUGUGCCUACCAUGGUUGUAACGGGUAACGGAGAAUAAGGGUUCGACUCCGGAGAGGGAGCCUGAGAAACGGCUACCACAUCCAAGGAAGGCAGCAGGCGCGCAAAUUACCCACUCUCAGAAUGAGGAGGUAGUGACGAAAAAUAACGAGACCGUUCUCUUUGAGGCCGGUUAUCGGAAUGGGUACAAUUUAAACCUGUUAACGAGGAUCUAUGAGAGGGCAAGUCUGGUGCCAGCAGCCGCGGUAAUUCCAGCUCUCAAAGUGUAUAUCGUCAUUGCUGCGGUUAAAAAGCUCGUAGUUGGAUCUGCGUCUCAGGACCUGGUCCAUCCAUUGGAUGAGAACUGGGCUCCUAGGCUAAUAUUGCCAGUUUUCCAUACGUUACCUUGAUUGGUUGCGUAUGGUGGCUAGCAAGUUUACCUUGAAAAAAUUAGAGUGCUCAAUGCGGGCUAAUGCCUGAAUACUCGUGCAUGGAAUAAUGAAAUAGGAUCUCGGUUCUAUUUUGUUGGUUUUCUGAUCUGAGAUAAUGGUUAAGAGGGACGGACGGGGGCAUUCGUAUCGCUGCGUGAGAGGUGAAAUUCUUGGACCGUAGCGAGACGUCCGACUGCGAAAGCAUG
rnacentral:rRNA from 1 species